rnacentral:rRNA from 1 species
UACGGAGGGGGCUAGCGUUGUUCGGAAUUACUGGGCGUAAAGCGCGCGUAGGCGGCUUUGUAAGUUAGAGGUGAAAGCCCGGAGCUCAACUCCGGAACUGCCUUUAAGACUGCAUCGCUAGAACGUCGGAGAGGUAAGUGGAAUUCCGAGUGUAGAGGUGAAAUUCGUAGAUAUUCGCAAGAACACCAGUGGCGAAGGCGGCUCACUGGCCCGAUACUGACGCUGAGGCACGAAAGCGUGGGGAGCAAACAGG